ACAGAGCCAAAAAGCAAGAAACCAACAGUUAGACUAAACAAUUUCCCUUUGUUCCAGAACCCUUCACAUCCUUAUGUAACUUGGCUCUAUAUCAUGCAGCCUGAACAGUGCUGGGAUUCAAAUAUGUGAACAACUGGUUUUCUGUGUGGAUGCCACUUCCGGAAGUCCAUUCUGGGCCUGGGCAACAAAAAAUUAGCUACAGUUUCUGCCAAAGUGAUUUCUAUCGCUGUGAGAAAGCUAUGAAUGCCAAAGGCUCUGAUCCCUAUGUCUGUCAGUGUUUUAAAAAAGUAUACUCAUCCCUGUGCCCUUCUUUUUGGGUUGACAACUGGGAUGAACUUCAGGGAAAUGGCUGUUUUCCAGGCAAAAUAUGAUGGUCUUUUGUCUGCCAGUAGCUCCCCCUACUCAGGAUGUUGCACUGCUGAGUCCUUUCUAUGUGUGCAUCUGAAGGAUUGUCUGAAAUGGCUCUUGUCUGCUUGAGCAUCUGAAUCAUGUAAUAGUACAAAAUCUUGGAUAUUACCCAUUCUAAUAAAAUGCAUAGUACCCAUGCCUGUGUUUAUCCUGCUAACUCAGUUAAUGAUUUACGAAUAUCUUCUACCACAUGCUUUAUCUAUGGUAAUGUUCUCAAAGAAUGGGACAGAUGUCAUUACUGUGGUAUAUGUGGUGCUUUCUCACUGGACCCCUUUUAACAAAAUAAAAGCCUUUUCAUUCUUUGCGUUAAAUAGCUUAUAUUUACAUGGGAAACUUUGUAGCUGACUGUAUGGGUGAUAACAGAAAUUAUUGAGAGCUUCCGGUGGUCAGCGACGAUGAUGGCGGCUACCUUGUAGCCGUCCUCCUGGGACGGCGUCAGAUCUGCGGAGCACAGCGCGCAUCAGCUGGCCCGCGGCUCGAAAUCC